UGGGGAAUAUUGGACAAUGGGCGAAAGCCUGAUCCAGCCAUGCCGCGUGUGUGAAGAAGGUCUUCGGAUUGUAAAGCACUUUAAGUUGGGAGGAAGGGCAGUAAGCGAAUACCUUGCUGUUUUGACGUUACCGACAGAAUAAGCACCGGCUAACUCUGUGCCAGCAGCCGCGGUAAUACAGAGGGUGCAAGCGUUAAUCGGAAUUACUGGGCGUAAAGCGCGCGUAGGUGGUUCGUUAAGUUGAAUGUGAAAGCCCCGGGCUCAACCUGGGAACUGCAUCCCCAACUGGCGAGCUAGAGUAGGGCAGAGUGUGGUGGAAUUUCCUGUGUAGCGGUGAAAUGCGUAGAUAUAGGAAGGAACACCAGUGGCGAAGGCGACCACCUGGGCUCAUACUGACACUGAGGUGCGAAAGCGUAGGGAGCAAACAGG
rnacentral:rRNA from 1 species